rnacentral:rRNA from 1 species
GAUGAACGCUAGCUACAGGCUUAACACAUGCAAGUCGAGGGGUAACAGGAGGAAAGCUUGCUUUUCUUGCUGACGACCGGCGCACGGGUGAGUAACGCGUAUCCAACCUUCCCCUUAGUAGAGGAUAGCCCGGCGAAAGUCGGAUUAAUACUCUAUGUUGUAUUUUGAGGACAUCUGACGAAUACCAAAGAUUUAUCGCUAAGGGAUGGGGAUGCGUCUGAUUAGCUUGUCGGCGGGGUAACGGCCCACCGAGGCAACGAUCAGUAGGGGUUCUGAGAGGAAGGUCCCCCACAUUGGUACUGAGACACGGACCAAACUCC